UCUAUCCUACGGGACGCAGCAGUCGGGAAUAUUGCACAAUGGAGGAAACUCUGAUGCAGUGACACCGCGUAUAGGAAGAAGGUUUUCGGAUUGUAAACUAUUUUAGACAGGGAAGAAAAAAGACAGUACCUGUAGAAUAAGCUCCGGCUAACUACGUGCCAGCAGCCGCGGUAAUACGUAGGUGGCAAGCGUUAUCCGGAUUUAUUGGGCGUAAAGGGAACGCAGGCGGUCUUUUAAGUCUGAUGUGAAAGCCUUCGGCUUAACCGGAGUAGUGCAUUGGAAACUGGGAGACUUGAGUGCAGAAG
rnacentral:rRNA from 1 species